rnacentral:rRNA from 1 species
GACAGAGGGUGCAAACGUUGUUCGGAAUUACUGGGCGUAAAGCGUGUGUAGGCGGUCUCGUAAGUCGGGUGUGAAAGCCCCGGGCUCAACCCGGGAAGUGCACUCGAAACUGCGAGGCUAGAGUACUGGAGAGGUUGGUGGAAUUCUCGGUGUAGAGGUGAAAUUCGUAGAUAUCGAGAGGAACACCGGUGGCGAAGGCGGCCAACUGGACAGAUACUGACGCUGAGACACGAAAGCGUGGGGAGCAAACAGGAUUAGAUACCCCCGUAGUCC